ACUGCUCAGUAACACGUGGACAACCUACCCUCAGCACGGGGAUAAACCCGGGAAACUGGGUAUAAUACCCGAUAGUUCUGGUUAGCUGGAAUGCUAUCAGGACGAAAGCUCCGGCGGCCGAGGAUGGGUCUGCGGCCUAUCAGGUAGUAGUGGGUGUAACGUACCUACUAGCCUACGACGGGUACGGGUUGUGAGAGCAAGAGCCCGGAGAUGGAUUCUGAGACACGAAUCCAGGCCCUACGGGGUGCAGCAGGCGCGAAAACUUUACAAUGCUGGCAACAGCGAUAAGGGGACCUCGAGUGCCAGGAUACAAUCUUGGCUGUCGUGAUGCCUAAAAAGCAUUGCAUAGCAAGGGCCGGGCAAGACCGGUGCCAGCCGCCGCGGUAACACCGGCGGCUCGAGUGGUAACCGCUAUUAUUGGGUCUAAAGGGUCUGUAGCCGGCCGGAUAAGUCUUUUGGGAAAUCCAGCUGCUCAACAGUUGGGCUUUCAGAAGAUACUGUUCGGCUCGAGGCCGGGAGAGGUGAGAGGUACUUCAGGGGUAGGGGUGAAAUCUUGUAAUCCUUGAAGGACCACCAGUGGCGAAGGCGUCUCACCAGAACGGACCUGACGGCAAGGGACGAAAGCUAGGGGCACGAACCGGAUUAGAUACCCGGGUAGUCCUAGCCGUAAACGAUACUCGCUAGGUGUCAGCCACGGUGCGACCGUGGUUGGUGCCGUAGGGAAGCCGUGAAGCGAGCCACCUGGGAAGUACGGCCGCAAGGCUGAAACUUAAAGGAAUUGGCGGGGGAGCA
rnacentral:rRNA from 1 species